UUUUACCUUCUUUAUGUGCUGUACCUUUAAGAAAUCAAAAACGCGAACGGACUACGGCAACCCCACUAGGCCAUUGAAGGGAGGCGUGACUUCCUGAUAGGAAGAACCGGGAAGAUUCACAGGAAAAGCGAGGUUGGGGGGUUAAUGGUUUAAAAACCCUGUUAUAACACUCGAGUGAGCAAUAUGGAGUUUGAUUGGUCUACCGUGUAUUGGAGACUGGAGAAACGUGGGUGAUAGUUGCUAGUAACGAAACCUGUCCACUGCCGUAUUUUGGGGGUUUAUUGGUACUGUAACGUGUCGAAUCCAUUGUUUGCACUGUAACGUAUGGGAUGUGGUUUAU